UGCAUGUACACACAUACACAAAAAUAAAUGGCAACUCAGUUGCUGGAGGGGUGAGUGUGAAAACUGCAUGAUCGUGAUCGUUUCCUCAGACUGAGCUAUAGAGCUAUGGAGAAAGUAUCUGGGAAUUCACGUGAUGCACCAGGUGGAACAAGUACUUCUCCACCACAAAUGCCAGAAUAUGACAGCUCUGAUAUCUAUGAGGAUUCCUGUAGAGAAAGUGAAUAUCAUGAUGAUGAAGAAUAUAGUGACUUUGACACGCACCUGCCUUCAACAUCGGCAUCACAAGGUGGGUGUAGACGCAAACUUGUGAUAAAAUCAUCAAGGAGAACACCCCUUCCUAAAAGGACAUGUGCAGAGGUGUCAGCUGAUGCUAGUGUUUCAACAGCUGGCUCAAAAUAUAGUUUUCAGUGCAGUUCUGCAGACAAUUUUGUCCCACAUUUGCAUGACUUUGAUUGGUCUGGUGACAUUGGAAUUACUAAUGAAUACCAAUUGCCUGAAGAGCCUGAAGAAUGUGAUUACUUUCUUUAGUAUAUGGAUGAUAAGUUGCUUGACCACAUUGUAAGAGAAACAAAUGGAUAUCAAGCACAAAAGAGUCCAAAUGUACAUCCACCAGACUCACAUCGAAAACAGUGGUGUGACAUCACACGGGAAGAGCUCCUCAUUUUUCUUGCUGUCACAGCACUUAUGCCACACUCCAAAAAACAUGUCCUAACAGACUACUGGAAAUGGGGUGAUAUACUCUCCAUACCUGUGUUUGCAGAGUAUUUCACUAGACAGGUAUAAGUGCAUUCUGAGCUUCCUCCAUUUUGCCAAUAAUGAGGAAGAAAAUGAGGCUGAUCCUUUGUGUAAAAUCAGACCAGUCCUCACAGACACUGUACUGAAAUUUAGAAGAUUCUUCAAGUCUUUCUAGAAACUGGUAAAUGAUGAAUCUUUGAUGAUGUUCAAGCAGUACAUACCCUCAAAGCAUCACAAGUUUGGACUGAAACUCUUCAUUUUGUGUGACUGAGAAUCUGGAAUAGUACUGGAUGUAAUUAUUUACUCAGCCAGUGAUGCAGACAUCCAUAAGAAAGAUCCUCUUGGUUUUUCAGGUGUUGUCAAGCAUCUAAUGAGGCACUCUUUAGAAAAAGGGCUUGUGCUCUACACUGACAAUUAUUAUACUAGCCCAGCACUUGCCAUAUAUCUGGAUGAGAACAUAACAGGUGCAGUAGGAACACUCAGACAAAAAAAAAAAAAAAAAAAAAAAAAAAAAAAAAAAAAAAUUCAUGCCCAUAUUUCAAAAGUUACCAUGAGGCACCAUUCAGAAAGCACAGUCAGAUGGGAUACUGUUGAUGCUAUGGUCUGAUAAGAAACCAGUUCAAACCAGUUCGUCUUCUCUCCACCACUCACACUAAAGAAAUGAAGGACUCAGGGAAAACUGACUGAAAAAAAAAAAAGAUCUUCAAGCACAACAUUGCAAAUGGCUUUAACAUAAAUAUGAGGCUUAUUGACAAAAGUGAUAUGCAAAUUACCUGUGUUGAAUGAUUGAGGAAAUCAAUGAAAUGGAGCAGGAAAAUGUUUUUUCACUUACUGGAUAUAUGUAUGCUAAAUGCAUAUAAUAUGCAUAUAAUAUGUUCUUGUAAGAACAGGGGAAAGGACUUCCCUUUGCCUCUUUAGUAAGCAAGUUACACUGCAAUUACUGCAAAGGUAUGGGAAAUGUAUGUUCAUUCACUCAUGCCCUGGUCAUCAAAGCAGAGAUGCUAGAGAAACCACUUUUCCUCGGCUGCAGUUCGUGGAUGCACUCAGACUCCAAUAUCCAGUGCCUGUACCCACACCACCAGGAAGACAGGCAUGGAACGGACAGUGUGAGUGUGUUGUUUGUAAAAAUACCACCAUGAAAGAAUAGGUACAAAGGAAAGUUGACUAUGUGCAAAACAUGUGACGUGGGACUCUGCAUCGGUGCCUGUUUCAAGGCUUACCACACCCUGGAGACAUUCUAAAUGUAAACCUUGAAAAGAUAUAGAAUAUUUUAGAAAUAAAAGAAAAUAGAAAAAUAAGGUUUGAAAAUAUUUAGAAAUUGAGAAAAUAGAAAAAUAAGAUCUGGAAAUAAGGAAACAAAAAAAUAAGUCCAUGAUAAUGUUUCUUAUGAUGUUGCAAAGAAAUGUGGUAAAGCAAGAUUCAACACCUUCUGUUACCAGGUACAUUAACCGUAUAUCCACAAACUGCAGACGAGAUACUGUGUUCGUGCAUCUUGGUUCUGCUGACCAAGUGGCGAAAGAUGAGCAAACAUUUCCUAUACACUUUUGCAGUAACCCAGGAGAACGGACAUGUCAGAUCUUCACACGGGUACAUUCACUGUACAUCCACAAACUGCAGACGAGAUACUGUGUUCAUGCAUCUUAAUUCUGCUGACCAAGUGGUGAAGGAUGAGCAAACAUUUUCCAUACACUUUUGCAGCAACCCAGGAGAACGGACAUGUCAGACCAU